AAGUCGUAACAAGGUAGCCGUAGGGGAACCUGUGGCUGGAUUGAAUCCUUCGCGAUGGAAAUGCCCUCUUCCCCCAACCAGGGGGCUAGCUUGCUUCCCACUGGCGGCGGGCGGGCGAAGGGUCGCCGUAGGUGAGGUAGCCGGGGGCAAAAUCCAAGAGUUCCAUUUUCCUUCUUGUUCAUCAAUCGGAAAUCAAGACAAACCGGGCACUACGGUGAGACGUGAAAACACCCGAUCCCAUUCCGACCUCGAUCUGUGGAAUCGUCUUGCGCCAUAUGUACUGAGAUUGUUCGGGAGACAUGGUCCAAGCCCGGUGAAGAAAUGAAAAUUUCAAAUU
rnacentral:rRNA from 1 species